rnacentral:rRNA from 1 species
UUAGGUUAACCUGCGGAAGGAUCAUUACCGAGUGAGGGCCCUCUGGGUCCAACCUCCCACCCGUGUUUAUUUUACCUUGUUGCUUCGGCGGGCCCGCCUUAACUGGCCGCCGGGGGGCUUACGCCCCCGGGCCCGCGCCCGCCGAAGACACCCUCGAACUCUGUCUGAAGAUUGUAGUCUGAGUGAAAAUAUAAAUUAUUUAAAACUUUCAACAACGGAUCUCUUGGUUCCGGCAUCGAUGAAGAACGCAGCGAAAUGCGAUACGUAAUGUGAAUUGCAAAUUCAGUGAAUCAUCGAGUCUUUGAACGCACAUUGCGCCCCCUGGUAUUCCGGGGGGCAUGCCUGUCCGAGCGUCAUUUCUGCCCUCAAGCACGGCUUGUGUGUUGGGCCCCGUCCUCCGAUCCCGGGGGACGGGCCCGAAAGGCAGCGGCGGCACCGCGUCCGGUCCUCGAGCGUAUGGGGCUUUGUCACCCGCUCUGUAGGCCCGGCCGGCGCUUGCCGAUCAACCCAAAUUUUUAUCCAGGUUGACCUCGGAUCAGGUAGGGAUACCCGCUGAACUUAAG